rnacentral:rRNA from 1 species
UGGGGAAUAUUGGACAAUGGGCGGAAGCCUGAUCCAGCCAUGCCGCGUGUGUGAAGAAGGCCUUUUGGUUGUAAAGCACUUUAAGCGAGGAGGAGGCUCUUCUAGUUAAUACCUAGGAUGAGUGGACGUUACUCGCAGAAUAAGCACCGGCUAACUCUAUGCCAGCAGCCGCGGUAAUACAGAGGGUGCGAGCGUUAAUCGGAUUUACUGGGCGUAAAGCGUGCGUAGGCGGCUGAUUAAGUCGGAUGUGAAAUCCCUGAGCUUAACUUAGGAAUUGCAUUCGAUACUGGUCAGCUAGAGUAUGGGAGAGGAUGGUAGAAUUCCAGGUGUAGCGGUGAAAUGCGUAGAGAUCUGGAGGAAUACCGAUGGCGAAGGCAGCCAUCUGGCCUAACACUGACGCUGAGGUACGAAAGCAUGGGGAGCAAACAGG